CUUUUAUAUAGGUGGCUGUAAGAAACAGGAUAAAUAUGGAUAAAUUGUUGCACAACUUUCUAUGUGCAUAUGUACACACACACACACACACACAUCGCGUAGCGUAGUGGUUAGCACGCUCGGCUCACAACCAAAAAGGCCCGGGUUCGAAUCCCGGGCGCGGCGAGGCAAAUGGGCGAACCUCUUAAUGUGUAGCCCCUGUUCACCUAUCAGCAAGUAGGUACGGGAUAUAAUCUGAGGGGUUGCGACCUCGCUGUCCCGUUGUGUGGUAAGUGAUUUCUAUGAGCUCUGAGCUCUUCCCGGUGGUGACCAGCAGACGACCGUAAGUGAAUCACACACAGAGCACGCACGUCGCACGCACACGCUCACAGACAGAGCAUGCGUGGACACAGCAAACGCACACACUGAGGGAGCUUGCGUGCACACAGAGCCCGCGCGCACACAAACAGACAGAGCCCAUGCACAUAAAGACAGCAUACACACGCAGGCGACGUUCAGUGAGGUAGGAGACAGUUAUAAAUGCAACUCUGCAAGUAAGGGUUAAUAUCACAAUGAUCUUUGACCUGCUGUCCCUGCUGAUGGUGAAACACUUUGGAGAGCCAGUGUUGUUUUAUGGAGACCUGCCACCCUUCAUGUGCAGCGCCAGCUUAUAUGCUAUCAUUCUUCACAUCCUCUCGAAGCUCACCCGGGUCCCAGAGGAAGCCCUGAAUAAGAUAUCUUAUGGCAAAAUUCUGAGGGGGUUUAUAGAUUUUAGAAGUAGUCCUUUAGAGAAAUGAGGUGCUAUGAUGGCCCACCUCAAGGUGCUGUAUCUCAUUGCAGCUAUAAUUGCAAUUCUGCAAAUAAUGGUCGCUUUUACAAUGACCUUUGGCCUGCUAUCCCUGCUGAUGGUGAAACACUUUGGAGAGUCAGUCUUGUUUCUUGGAGACCUGCCACCCUUCAUGUGCAGUGACAGCCUGCUGUCAUUCAUCACAUCCUCCUGAAGCUCACCAUGGUAUGUACAGUCUCUCUCUCUCUCU